AAGCCACUGCGCCAUGAUUGUCACCAAGACCCUAGGAGCAAGACCACCGAAGGAAACGAGCUGAGGCACCGUCGUUAAAGAGAUCGAGCCUUUCUUCUUCAACUCCGGCCGCCGGCGUCAAUCUUCAAUUCCCGCUGCUCUGCUCUCCAUCUACCGGACCGUGCUGUCACCGUGAAGCCGACAUCAUCCUCCGCCUUCAAGCCGUUCCGCGAGCUGCUGCUGCCGUCCAAGCCUCGCCAACACCGUGCUUCUGACCGAUGAUUGCUUAGACGGUGAAGAAGUGAUUUAGGUGCUGACAUUUUCCAGUUGCAAGGCAAG